rnacentral:tRNA from 1 species
GCCUCGAUGGUGAAAAGGACGAUCACUCCUUGCUUCUACCAAGGCAUUCCGGGUUCGAAUCCUGGUCGAGGCA